rnacentral:rRNA from 1 species
AGAGUUUGAUCCUGGCUCAGGACGAACGCUGGCGGCGUGCCUAAUACAUGCAAGUCGAACGCUUCUUUUUCCACCGGAGCUUGCUCCACCGGAAAAAGAGGAGUGGCGAACGGGUGAGUAACACGUGGGUAACCUACCCAUCAGAAGGGGAUAACACUUGGAAACAGGUGCUAAUACCGUAUAACAAUCAAAACCGCAUGGUUUUGAUUUGAAAGGCGCUUUCGGGUGUCGCUGAUGGAUGGACCCGCGGUGCAUUAGCUAGUUGGUGAGGUAACGGCUCACCAAGGCCACGAUGCAUAGCCGACCUGAGAGGGUGAUCGGCCACAUUGGGACUGAGACACGGCCCAAACUCCUACGGGAGGCAGCAGUAGGGAAUCUUCGGCAAUGGACGAAAGUCUGACCGAGCAACGCCGCGUGAGUGAAGAAGGUUUUCGGAUCGUAAAACUCUGUUGUUAGAGAAGAACAAGGAUGAGAGUAACUGUUCAUCCCUUGACGGUAUCUAACCAGAAAGCCACGGCUAACUACGUGCCAGCAGCCGCGGUAAUACGUAGGUGGCAAGCGUUGUCCGGAUUUAUUGGGCGUAAAGCGAGCGCAGGCGGUUUCUUAAGUCUGAUGUGAAAGCCCCCGGCUCAACCGGGGAGGGUCAUUGGAAACUGGGAGACUUGAGUGCAGAAGAGGAGAGUGGAAUUCCAUGUGUAGCGGUGAAAUGCGUAGAUAUAUGGAGGAACACCAGUGGCGAAGGCGGCUCUCUGGUCUGUAACUGACGCUGAGGCUCGAAAGCGUGGGGAGCAAACAGGAUUAGAUACCCUGGUAGUCCACGCCGUAAACGAUGAGUGCUAAGUGUUGGAGGGUUUCCGCCCUUCAGUGCUGCAGCUAACGCAUUAAGCACUCCGCCUGGGGAGUACGACCGCAAGGUUGAAACUCAAAGGAAUUGACGGGGGCCCGCACAAGCGGUGGAGCAUGUGGUUUAAUUCGAAGCAACGCGAAGAACCUUACCAGGUCUUGACAUCCUUUGACCACUCUAGAGA